rnacentral:rRNA from 1 species
GUGUCAGCAGCCGCGGUAAUACCAGCUCCCUGAGUGGUAGGGACGAUUAUUUGGCCUAAAGCGUCCGUAGCCGGUUUAGCCAGUCUCUCGUUAAAUCCGACGAUUCAAUCGUUGGCCUGCGGGAGAUACUACUAGACUUGAGGACGGGAGAGGUCGACGGUAGUCCUGGGGUAGGGGUGAAAUCCUAUAAUCCUAGGAGGACCACCAGUGGCGAAGGCGGUCGACUAGAACGUGCCUGACGGUGAUGGACGAAAGCUGGGGGAGCGAACCGGAUUAGACACCCGGGUAGUCCCAGCUGUAAACGAUGCGGGCUAGGUGUUGGGGUAGCUACGAGCUACUCCAGUGCCGCAGAGAAGUCGUUAAGCCCGCCGCCUGGGAAGUACGGCCGCAAGGCUGAAACUCAAAUGAAUUGGCGGGG